rnacentral:rRNA from 1 species
UGGGGAAUAUUGGACAAUGGGCGCAAGCCUGAUCCAGCCAUGCCGCGUGUGUGAAGAAGGCCUUCGGGUUGUAAAGCACUUUUGUCCGGAAAGAAAGCGAAUCGGCAAAUACCCGGUUUGGAUGACGGUACCGGAAGAAUAAGCACCGGCUAACUUCGUGCCAGCAGCCGCGGUAAUACGAAGGGUGCAAGCGUUACUCGGAAUUACUGGGCGUAAAGCGUGCGUAGGCGGUCUGUUAAGUCUGCUGUGAAAUCCCCGGGCUCAACCUGGGAAUGUCAGUGGAAACUGGCGGGCUAGAGUACGGUAGAGNAUGGUGGAAUUCCCGGUGUAGCGGUGAAAUGCGUAGAGAUCGGGAGGAACACCAGUGGCGAAGGCGGCCAUCUGGACCAGUACUGACGCUGAGGCACGAAAGCGUGGGGAGCAAACA